rnacentral:rRNA from 1 species
CACGUAGGCACCAAGCGUUGUCCGGAUUUAUUGGGCGUAAAGAGCUCGUAGGCGGUUGAGUAAGUCGGGUGUGAAAACUCUGGGCUUAACCCAGAGCCGCCACCCGAUACUGCUCUGACUUGAGUUCGGUAGGGGAGCAGGGAAUUCCUAGUGUAGCGGUGAAAUGCGCAGAUAUCAGGAGGAACACCGGUGGCGAAGGCGGCAUCCUGGACCGACACUGACGCUGAGGAGCGAAAGCCAGGGGAGCAAACGGG